ACCAGGAUGGCCAGGAGGUUAAGGUGUUGAACUUAAGAUCCAAUGGACAAAUGACCUUGUGGGUUUGAACCCCACUCCAGGUC
rfam:Danio rerio chromosome 20, GRCz11 reference primary assembly.